rnacentral:rRNA from 1 species
AACGAACGCUGGCGGCAGGCUUAACACAUGCAAGUCGAACGCCCCGCAAGGGGAGUGGCGCACGGGUGAGUAACGCGUGGAUAUCUGCCUUUUGGUUCGGAAUAACCCCGGGAGACUGGGGCUACUACCGGAUGGUUCCUACGGGAUAAAGAUUUAUCGCGAAAAGAUGAGUUCGCGUACGAUUAGCUAGUUGGUGAGGUAAUGGCACACCAAGGCGACGAUCGUUAGCUGGUCUGAGAGGACGAGCAGCCACACUGGGACUGAGACACGGCCCAGACUCCUACGGGAGGCAGCAGUGGGGAAUAUUGGACAAUGGGGGCAACCCUGAUCCAGCCAUGCCGGGUGAGUGAUGAAGGCCUUCGGGUUGUAAAGCGCUUUUGGCGGGGACGAUGAUGACGGUACCCGCAGAAUAAGCCCCGGCUAACUUCGUG